CCUUUUCAUCUUCCAAUCACUGCAGCAGAUGCGGUGAAAUACACAAAGCUUGGCUGUUUCUCAAAAUAUGCACUUAAGUUCCUACUUUAAACCAACUGGCAAACUGCAACAGGAUUUAUAUAGGUUUAAUAAUAAUAGGUUUAUUCUAUUAGGAAUGUUGAUUUCCAUGUUAUUUGUGUUUGUAUGUAUUGUGUUAUGUGUGAAGUGCUUUGGCAAAGUAAAGCUUGAUGUUGCCAUAUUGAAGAGUAGCAAAUAACACUAAAGAUUUUUUUUUCAAACUUUGGUUUGUUAUGGGGGACAAUUUCACAAGAGUGAGGGUAUGUAUACAAAUACACACAUAUGCACACACUAAAUUAAUUACAUUUUGGUGAUUUUUUUUUCUUUAACUUAUAAUUUCUUUACAAUUGUAUAUAAGACUUUUCCAUUGGUUGCUUUUUUUGUCUAUGGGAUGUUUUUGUCUAUGUGAAUCUAGAGGGCAUUUUAACCUAUUCCAGCAGUGCAGAUGAAUGGACCUCUCACCUCAGAGGACCCAUGUUUUGUGAAAUAGUUUGAUGUAAGCAGUUUGUUGUAUCAGCUGUAUAACCCUCACUUAAAUCUUUGCUUUUCACCUUUGCAGAGAAACUCUGCGGGAAGUACUGCACCUUCUGAAGAGCACUGGUAAUUCUCAAGUGGAAUACAUUGUUCGCAUCAUGAAAAAGUGGGCCAAGGAGAACAGAGUCCCUGUUUGAGUCAGUGUCACAAAAUGAACUAGGACUUUAGGCAUUCAAGCAGGUUGACAUAGCUGAGGAGGAGUGUCCUGCAGUGAGAUUCAAAACAUACAGUAUGUUGGUUUUUUGGGUUUUUUUUUAUUUUUUUUCUUUUAAUUAAAACUUUAUUGGUACUUUUUCUGUUGCACCA